GACCAAUGUCUAUUCACGAUUUGGUCUGGCGAGACCUGGUCCAGCUCUGGUCGUGCAGACGAGGAAGAUGAUAUGGACGUCGUGGAUCCUGACCACCAUGACACGCAGAAGAGGUUAGAUCCUCCAGUUGAGGAGCUGACCGAGGAGAUCCGUGGCGCGUCCGAGGAAGCGAAGGGCAUGGCCCUGGAAACCCUAUCUCUCUCAAGGUAAUCUUGUUUCCCUUUGCACAAUCUAGCUAGUUCGGACGAGCUCCGUUUUGUUAUCUAAUCUACUUGGUGUUGUUUGGCAGGAAACCAGAGGAAGCCGUUGAGCAUCACCAUGGUGAUCCCGCUGGACUUCAGCAACCAUGUAUGCAUGGUACUAGAGCAAUUGUGUUGUUUAAAUGUAAAACCUGCUGCCGCCAUCUGUGAUGAUGCCUAUGUCGACCGAAAG